AUUGGACGCUGGCGGCAGGCUUAACACAUGCAAGUCGAGCGGGGGAGGUUGCUUCGGUAACUGACCUAGCGGCGGACGGGUGAGUAAUGCUUAGGAAUCUGCCUAUUAGUGGGGGACAACAUUCCGAAAGGGAUGCUAAUACCGCAUACGCCCUACGGGGGAAAGCAGGGGAUCUUCGGACCUUGCGCGAAUAGAUGAGCCUAAGUCGGAUUAGCUAGUUGGUGGGGUAAAGGCCUACCAAGGCGACGAUCUGUAGCGGGUCUGAGAGGAUGAUCCGCCACACUGGGAGUGGGACGCGGGCGAGAGUCCUACGGGGGGCAGGAGUGGGGGAUAUUGGACAAGGGGCGGAAGCCUGAGCCAGCCAUGCCGCGUGUGUGAAGAAGGCCUUUUGGUUGUAAAGCAGUUUAAGCGAGGAGGAGGCUCUUAAGGUUAAUACCCUUGAUGAGUGGACGUUACUCGCAGAAUAAGCACCGGCUAACUCUGUGCCAGCCGCCGCCGUAACAC
rnacentral:rRNA from 1 species